ensembl:lncRNA
AUGGGAAAUAAGCAAGACGAACUCCAACUCCUAGCACAGCACCACACAUACGAUGUCAUAGGCAUCACUGAAGCCUGGUGGGAUGACUCCCAUCACUGGAAUUUAACCAUUGAGGGCUAUAACCUCUUUCACAGAAAUAGAACAAAGGGGGGAGGAGGGGGAGUAGCUUUAUAUGUCAAAAACAGUUACGUUGCAGAAGAAAUGCAAGACUGUAAUCCGGGAAACCAGCUUGAAAGCAUCUGGAUAAGAAUCAAGGGAACCGGGACUCAAAAAGAUCUUGUCGUGGGUGUCUGCUACAGACCUCCGAGUCAGGAUGAAGGACUUGAUGAAGCCUUCUGUCAACAGCUGACCAAACAGGCACAAAGAAGAGAUAUAGUAGUCAUGGGCGAUUUCAAUUAUCCCGAUAUCUGCUGGAAAACAAACUCAGCCAAGAGUACAAAGUCCAACAAAUUCCUCACUUGCCUUGCAGAUAAUUUUAUGGUCCAGAAGGUAGAAGAGGCAACAAGGGGAUCAGCAACUCUUGAUCUAAUCUUAACAAAUGUGGAAGACCUGAUCAAUACAGUUGAAGUGGUUGGAUCCUUAGGGGCAAGUGACCAUGUGCUCCUGCAGUUUGCAAUACAAAGGAAUGCUGAAACUAAGACAAGUCAAACACGCAUUCUGGACUUUAAGAGAGCUGACUUCCAAAAAAUGAAGGAAUUACUGAGCGGCAUUCCAUGGACGCCGAUAUUAAAAAACAAGGGAGUUAAGGAUGAAUGGGAGUUUUUCAAAAGUGAAAUACUCAAGGCGCAAAUGCAAACAGUGCCAACAAAGAAGAAAAAUAAGACAAGUGCAAAGAAGCCAGAAUGGAUGUCCAAAGAACUUCUAACUGAGCUAAAGCUCAAAAGUGACAUGCACAAGAAGUGGAAAAGGGGAGAAAUCACCAAAGAAGAAUUCAAACGUAUAGCCAACACCUAUAGGGAAAAGGUUCACAAGGCUAAAGCGCAAAAUGAGCUCAGGCUUGCCAGGGACAUAAAAAACAACAAAAAAGGCUUUUUUGCUUACGUUGGUAGAAAAAGGAAGAAAAAGGAGGCGAUAGGGCCAUUGCAAGGAGAAGAUGGGGUGAUGGCGACAGGGGACAGGGAAAAGGCAGAACUACUUAAUGCCUUCUUUGCCUCGGUCUUCUCACAAAAAGAAAGCCAUCUUCAACCUCAGCAACAUGGAAUGGACGAAGGAUUGGGGGAAAUCCAACCCCAAAUAGGGAAACAAGUUGUCCAGGAACACCUGGCCACUCUAAACGAAUUCAAGUCCCCAGGGCCAGAUCAGCUACAUCCAAGAGUACUGAAGGAACUAGCGGAAGUUAUUUCAGAACCACUGGCAAUUAUCUUCGAGAGUUCUUGGAGAACGGGAGAAAUCCCAGCAGAUUGGAGGAGGGCGAAUGUGGUCCCUAUCUUCAAGAAGGGAAAAAAGUACGACCCAAACAAUUACCGUCCGGUCAGCCUCACAUCAAUACCAGGCAAAAUUCUGGAAAAGAUCAUUAAGGAAGUGGUCUGUGAACACUUAGAAACAAAUGCGGUCAUUGCUAAUAGUCAACACGGAUUUACCAAAAACAAGUCAUGCUAG